UACGGAGGGUGCAAGCAUUGAUCGGAAUUAUUGGGCGUAAAGGGCGCGUAGGCGGACUGGUAAGUCAGAUGUGAAAUUCCACGGCUCAACCGUGGAGCUGCAUUUGAAACUGUUGGUCUUGAGCGUAGUUAGGGAAAACGGAAUUCCACGUGUAGCGGUGAAAUGCGUAGAUAUGUGGAAGAACACCAGUGGUGAAGACGGUUUUCUGGGCUAUAGCUGACGCUGAGGCGCGAAAGCUAGGGGAG
rnacentral:rRNA from 1 species